GGUUAAGUUAGAAAGGGCGCACGGUGGAUGCCUUGGCACUAGGAGCCGAAGAAGGACGGGACUAACACCGAUAUGCUUUGGGGAGCUGUACGUAAGCGUUGAUCCAGAGAUUUCCGAAUGGGGGAACCCACUAUCUUUAGUCGGAUAGUAUCCUUACGUGAAUACAUAGCGUGAGGAAGGCAGACCCAGGGAACUGAAACAUCUAAGUACCUGGAGGAAGAGAAAGAAAAAUCGAUUUCCUGAGUAGCGGCGAGCGAAACGGAAAGAGCCCAAACCAAGAAGCUUGCUUCUUGGGGUUGUAGGACACUCUAUACGGAGUUACAAAAGAAAGUUAUAAAUGAAGCGGUCUGGAAAGGCCCGCCAAAGACGGUAACAGCCCGGUAGUUGAAAUGGCUUUCCCUCCAGAGUGGAUCCUGAGUACGGCGGAACACGUGAAAUUCCGUCGGAAUCCGGGAGGACCAUCUCCCAAGGCUAAAUACUCCCUAGUGACCGAUAGUGAACCAGUACCGUGAGGGAAAGGUGAAAAGCACCCCGGAAGGGGAGUGAAACAGUUCCUGAAACCGUGUGCCUACAAGUAGUUAGAGCCCGUUAAUGGGUGAUAGCGUGCCUUUUGUAGAAUGAACCGGCGAGUUACGAUUUGUUGCAAGGUUAAGCGGAAAAAGCGGAGCCGUAGCGAAAGCGAGUCUGAAUAGGGCGCAUAAGUAACAGGUCGUAGACCCGAAACCAGGUGAUCUACCCAUGUCCAGGAUGAAGGUAAGGUAAUACUUACUGGAGGUCCGAACCCACGCACGUUGAAAAGUGCGGGGAUGAGGUGUGGGUAGCGGAGAAAUUCCAAUCGAACUUGGAGAUAGCUGGUUCUCUCCGAAAUAGCUUUAGGGCUAGCCUCGAGGUAAAGAGUCAUGGAGGUAGAGCACUGUUUGGACUAGGGGCCCUUCUCGGGUUACCGAAUUCAGAUAAACUCCGAAUGCCAUGUACUUAUACUCGGGAGUCAGACUGCGAGUGAUAAGAUCCGUAGUCGAAAGGGAAACAGCCCAGACCACCAGUUAAGGUCCCCAAAUAUAUGUUAAGUGGAAAAGGAUGUGGGGUUGCUUAGACAACCAGGAUGUUGGCUUAGAAGCAGCCACCAUUGAAAGAGUGCGUAAUAGCUCACUGGUCGAGUGACCCCGCGCCGAAAAUGUACCGGGGCUAAACAUAUUACCGAAACUGUGGAUGAACCUCUUUAGAGGUUCGUGGUAGGAGAGCGUUCUAAGGGCGGUGAAGUCAGACCGGAAGGACUGGUGGAGCGCUUAGAAGUGAGAAUGCCGGUAUGAGUAGCGAAAGAAGGGUGAGAAUCCCUUCCACCGAAUAUCUAAGGUUUCCUGAGGAAGGCUCGUCCGCUCAGGGUUAGUCGGGACCUAAGCCGAGGCCGAUAGGCGUAGGCGAUGGACAACAGGUAGAGAUUCCUGUACCAGUGCUAAUUGUUUAACCGAUGGGGUGACACAGAAGGAUAGGGAAUCGCACGAAUGGAAAUGUGCGUCCAAGCAGUGAGUGUGAGAAGUAGGCAAAUCCGCUUCUCANNNNNNNNNNNNNNNNNNNNNNNNNNNNNNNNNNNNNNNNNNNNNNNNNNNNNNNNNNNNNNNNNNNNNNNNNNNNNNNNNNNNNNNNNNNNNNNNNCACGAAGCAUGAGCUGUGAUGGGGAAGGAAAUUAAGUACGGAAGUUCCUGAUUUCACGCUGUCAAGAAAAGCCUCUAGGAAGAGUAGUACUGCCCGUACCGCAAACCGACACAGGUAGAUGAGGAGAGAAUCCUAAGGUGAGCGAGAGAACUCUCGUUAAGGAACUCGGCAAAAUGACCCCGUAACUUCGGGAGAAGGGGUGCUCUAUUAGGGUGCAAGCCCGAGAGAGCCGCAGUGAAUAGGCCCAGGCGACUGUUUAGCAAAAACACAGGUCUCUGCAAAACCGUAAGGUGACGUAUAGGGGCUGACGCCUGCCCGGUGCUGGAAGGUUAAGAGGAGUGCUUAGCUUCGGCGAAGGUACGAAUUGAAGCCCCAGUAAACGGCGGCCGUAACUAUAACGGUCCUAAGGUAGCGAAAUUCCUUGUCGGGUAAGUUCCGACCCGCACGAAAGGCGCAACGAUCUGGGCACUGUCUCAACGAGAGACUCGGUGAAAUUAUAGUACCUGUGAAGAUGCAGGUUACCCGCGACAGGACGGAAAGACCCCGUGGAGCUUUACUGCAACCUGAUAUGGAAUGUUUGUACCGCUUGUACAGGAUAGGUAGGAGCCGAAGAGACGUGUGCGCUAGCAUACGAGGAGGCAAUGGUGGGAUACUACCCUGGCUGUAUGACCAUUCUAACCCGCCACGCUUAGCGCGUGGGGAGACAGUGUCAGGUGGGCAGUUUGACUGGGGCGGUCGCCUCCUAAAGAGUAACGGAGGCGCCCAAAGGUUCCCUCAGAAUGGAUGGAAAUCAUUCGCAGAGUGUAAAGGCACAAGGGAGCUUGACUGCGAGACUGACAAGUCGAGCAGGGACGAAAGUCGGGCUUAGUGAUCCGGUGGUUCCGCAUGGAAGGGCCAUCGCUCAACGGAUAAAAGCUACCCCGGGGAUAACAGGCUUAUCUCCCCCAAGAGUCCACAUCGACGGGGAGGUUUGGCACCUCGAUGUCGGCUCGUCGCAUCCUGGGGCUGUAGUCGGUCCCAAGGGUUGGGCUGUUCGCCCAUUAAAGCGGCACGCGAGCUGGGUUCAGAACGUCGUGAGACAGUUCGGUCCCUAUCCGUCGCGGGCGCAGGAAAUUUGAGAGGAGCUGUCCUUAGUACGAGAGGACCGGGAUGGACACACCGCUGGUGUACCAGUUGUUCCGCCAGGAGCAUCGCUGGGUAGCUAUGUGUGGCAGGGAUAAACGCUGAAAGCAUCUAAGCGUGAAGCCCCCCUCAAGAUGAGAUUUCCCAUUUCUUCGGAAAGUAAGAUCCCUGAAAGAUGAUCAGGUAGAUAGGUUUGGAGUGGAAGUGUAGCGAUACAUGGAGCGGACAAAUACUAAUCGAUCGAGGACUUAACCAA
rnacentral:rRNA from 1 species